GAUACACUGUCCACAUUCUCAUGUUGUGAGGUCACUAAGAAGGGUUUGUUUGGAAACAAUGGAAGCUUCAGUUUCUCCCUGUCCAACCCUGGAUGGCAAGGUACAUAGACACAGACAUAUGCCCCACAGAUUUGUGGCACUACCUAGUGGCUGGGCAUCCCUAAUAAGUCCUCAGAGAAAUACAGAGAGACCAUCUGCAGGAGUCAUUGGUAGGUCCUUUCUGUGCUUGCCAAUGGAAAUCAGGACCUACAAAAGACUUAAUGAAUUAAUCAAGUUAUUUUCAUCAUCAGCGUUUCAGACCAACAUACUAGUGAGAUUCAGUCCUCAGAGAACUCACCAAAGUGACUUCUACGUGAGUGAAUCCUAGGAAUUCCAAGACUAGUAAAAUAUCUCACUUCAUCUUAUCUUAAUAAAAGUUGUAAGAGGAGGAGUUGGCUUAAGGACUUAAUAAAGAGGUAAGAAGAAAAUAUGUAUAAAUUCUAGAAAAGCAUAAACAAAAGCCAUGCAUUGAAUAUGCAGAAUGUGUUCAAGGACAUACCGUUUUAAGUAAGAAUGCUCAGCCACAGAACAAGUUGAAGAAAGCCUCGCAUUGGAGUGGUAAUUGAAAAAACUUUGAUACCCUACUUUAUUGAGUACAUAACAUCAUUUCAGCAAUCAGGAAAACACAUCAUCAUGUGAACUAUUAGACCACAUCUGGAAUACUGGACCCAAAUCUAUAUUUCUGGAAAGCCACAUUUAAGUAUGCAGCCCACAUCUGUUCUCAAAAAUAUGUUCUAUUACUUUGCUAUUACACAAACAGCAUGUACUAACAAAGUGAAGAGAAAGACAAAAACUUAGAGGAAAAACACAGGAAUAAUUUGAAAGAUGUCAGAUUUCAAUAACAUGAUGAAAUGAAAGGAACUAAAUAUAUCAGUUGAGAGAAACUUCAUUCACAACUAACUCUUAAGUUUGUAAAUAGAGGAAGAAGGAAAAUCGAUAGUGGCUGGAAAACAUCAGAACUUGGUAGGUAAAAAGAAUAGAGUAAGAAGAAAAACUUAUUCCUUUAAAAUUUCUAUUAUGGUAUUUCAUUUUGGGUAGGAGAAAAACUAUCUAAAUGGAGAAAUCUCCUGGUAACUGGUUAUUCCUUUAGAUAUUUUAAUUUUUUCAUAAAAGCUAACAGUCUAGGAAAGAGGGAAAUACUGUAAGAAGAUACUGAUUAGAAUUAGAGAGAACAUUUAAUG
rnacentral:lncRNA from 1 species